GACGAACGCUGGCGGCGUGCUUAACACAUGCAAGUCGAGCGGUAAGGCCCUUUCGGGGGUACACGAGCGGCGAACGGGUGAGUAACACGUGGGUGACCUGCCCUCAGCUCUGGGGAUAAGCCCGGGAAACUGGGUCUAAUACCGGAUAUGACUUCAUGACGCAUGUUGUGGAGUGGAAAGCCUUGUGCGGCUGAGGAUGGGCCCGCGGCCUAUCAGCUUGUUGGUGGGGUGANGGCCUACCAAGGCGACGACGGGUAGCCGGCCUGAGAGGGCGACCGGCACACUGGGACUGAGAUACGGGCCCAGACUCCUACGGGAGGCAGCGAGUGGGGAAUCUUGCGCAAUGGGCGAAAGCCUGACGCAGCGACGCCG
rnacentral:rRNA from 1 species